AUAUCAAUAAGCGGAGGAAAAGAAACCAACAGGGAUUGCCCCAGUAACGGCGAGUGAAGCGGCAACAGCUCAAAUUUGAAAUCUGGCUCUCGGGCCCGAGUUGUAAUUUGUAGAGGAUGCUUUUGGUGAGGUGCCUUCCGAGUUCCCUGGAACGGGACGCCAUAGAGGGUGAGAGCCCCGUCUGGUUGGACGCCGAACCUCUGUAAAGCUCCUUCGACGAGUCGAGUAGUUUGGGAAUGCUGCUCUAAAUGGGAGGUAUAUGUCUUCUAAAGCUAAAUACCGGCCAGAGACCGAUAGCGCACAAGUAGAGUGAUCGAAAGAUGAAAAGAACUUUGAAAAGAGAGUUAAACAGUACGUGAAAUUGUUGAAAGGGAAGCGCUUGUGACCAGACUUGGGCUUGGUUGAUCAUCCGGGGUUCUCCCCGGUGCACUCUUCCGGCCCAGGCCAGCAUCAGUUCGCCCUGGGGGACAAAGGCAUCGGGAACGUGGCUCUCUCCGGGGAGUGUUAUAGCCCGUUGCGUAAUACCCUGCGGCGGACUGAGGUUCGCGCAUUCGCAAGGAUGCUGGCGUAAUGGUCAUCAGUGACCCGUCUUGAAACACGGACCAAGGAGUCGUCUUCGUAUGCGAGUGUUCGGGUGUCAAACCCCUACGCGAAAUGAAAGUGAACGCAGGUGAGAGCUUCGGCGCAUCAUCGACCGAUCCUGAUGUUAUCGGAUGGAUUUGAGUAAGAGCAUACGGGGCCGGACCCGAAAGAAGGUGAACUAUGCCUGUGUAGGGUGAAGCCAGAGGAAACUCUGGUGGAGGCUCGCAGCGGUUCUGACGUGCAAAUCGAUCGUCAAACAUGGGCAUGGGGGCGAAAGACUAAUCGAACCUUCUAGUAGCUGGUUUCCGCC
rnacentral:rRNA from 2 species